GACGUAGGAUGCAAGCGUUGUCCGGAAUUAUUGGGCGUAAAGAGCGCGCAGGCGGUCGAUUUAGUCGUGUGUGAAAGCCCCCGGCUCAACUGGGGAGGGUCACGCGAUACUGAUCGACUCGAAGGCAGGAGAGGGUAGUGGAAUUCCCGGUGUAGUGGUGAAAUGCGUAGAUAUCGGGAGGAACACCAGUGGCGAAGGCGACUACCUGGCCUGUUCUUGACGCUGAGGCGCGAAAGCUAGGGGAGCAAACGGG
rnacentral:rRNA from 1 species